rnacentral:rRNA from 1 species
GAUGAACGCUAGCGACAGGCCUAACACAUGCAAGUCGAGGGGCAGCACAUGAGUAGCAAUACGAUGGUGGCGACCGGCGCACGGGUGAGUAACACGUAUGCAACCUGCCUGUAAGAGGGGAAUAACCCGGAGAAAUUCGGACUAAUACCGCAUAAUACCACGAGACUGCAUGGUUUUGUGGUUAAACAUUUAUGGCUUACAGAUGGGCAUGCGUAUGAUUAGAUAGUUGGUAGGGUAACGGCCUACCAAGUCUACGAUCAUUAGGGGUUCUGAGAGGAAGGUCCCCCAACUGGUACUGAGACACGGACCAGACUCCUACGGGAGGCAGCAGUGAGGAAUAUUGGUCAAUGGGCGAGAGCCUGAACCAGCCAAGUCGCGUGAAGGAAGAAGGUUCUAUGGAUUGUAAACUUCUUUUGCAGGGGAAUAAUGACGGUACGUGUACUGUUUGUAUGUACCUUGCGAAUAAGGAUCGGCUAACUCCGUGCCAGCAC